rnacentral:tRNA from 1 species
GGAUUGUGGCUCAGUGGUAAAGUGCUCGCCUAGCACGUGCAAGGCCCUGGGUUCGAUCCUCAGCACCA